GGAGGUCUUGCAGCAUUCUAUGCAGACUUCGUUCUGUAAUCGCAGAGUCGGAUACUUUGGAGGAGAUUGAUUCAGCAUCUGACUGGUCGUCCGACAUGCCAGGUGCAUCGCCGCCAUCUUGUUUUUCUUUCCUCCGGUCUUUUUUCCGGGUUUUCACCGCGUCCAUGAUCUUGAGCUGUUUGGGGGGUGACAUAGUCGUGGGGUAUCACCUUGGGAGCACGGGUAGGGAGAUAAGUUUGCAGUUUUUGCUUUUGUUGUCGCUAUCAGGCUGGAAUUUCGGCGGAGCUCUCAAGCCAUGCGUCCGCACUCGCCGG